rnacentral:rRNA from 1 species
GCAGGAAAUCGACGGAACCCUUCGGGGGGAAGUCGACGGAAUGAGCGGCGGACGGGUGAGUAACACGUAAAGAGCCUGCCCUCAGGUCUGGGAUAACCACGAGAAAUCGGGGCUAAUACCGGAUGGGUCAUCGGACCGCAUGGUCCGAGGAUGAAAGGCGCUUCGGCGUCGCCUGGGGAUGGCUUUGCGGUGCAUUAGCUAGUUGGUGGGGUAAUGGCCCACCAAGGCGACGAUGCAUAGCCGACCUGAGAGGGUGAUCGGCCACACUGGGACUGAGACACGGCCCAGACUCCUACGGGAGGCAGCAGUAGGGAAUCUUCCACAAUGGACGAAAGUCUGAUGGAGCAACGCCNCGUGAACGAUGAAGGCCUUCGGGUCGUAAAGUUCUGUUGUAAGGGAAGAACAAGUGCCGCAGGCAAUGGCGGCACCUUGACGGUACCUUGCGAGAAAGCCACGGCUAACUACGUGCCAGCAGCCGCGGUAAUACGUAGGUGGCAAGCGUUGUCCGGAAUUAUUGGGCGUAAAGCGCGCGCAGGCGGCCUCUUAAGUCUGAUGUGAAAGCCCCCGGCUCACCGGGGAGGGCCAUUGGAAACUGGGAGGCUUGAGUAUAGGAGAGAAGAGUGGAAUUCCACGUGUAGCGGUGAAAUGCGUAAAGAUGUGGAG